UUAAGUUCAGCGGGUAUCCCUACCUGAUCCGAGGUCAACCAUAGAAAAUUAGGGGUUGAUGGCAAGCAUCCACCAGGACUCCAUAGCGAGAAGAAUUACUACGCUCAGAGCCAGAUGGCACCGCCACUGAUUUAAGGGCUGCCGGUGCGGCAGGCCCCAAUACCAAGCUGAGCUUGAGGGGUUAUAAUGACGCUCGAACA
rnacentral:misc_RNA from 1 species